rnacentral:rRNA from 1 species
CAGCCGCCACGGUAACACGAGGGGUGCAAGUGUUAUUCGGAUUGAUUGGGUGUAAAGGGUGUGCAGACGGCUUAUUAAGUCACUUGUUAAAUUCUUCGGCCUAACUGAAGGUCUGCAAGUGAUACUGAUGAGCUAGAGGGUGGAAGAGAGAAGUGGAAUUCUCGGAGUAGCGGUAAAAUGCGUAGAUCUCGAGAGGAACACCAAUGGCGAAGGCAGCUUCUUGGUCCAUUCCUGACGUUCAUACACGAAAGCGUGGGGAGCAAACAGGAUUAGAUACCCGCGUAGUCCCUGUCUCUUAUAC